ensembl:lncRNA
AACAAAGGGUGACCCAGAGUUGGGACAGGGUCAUUGUUCGCAUCUCUGUGCAAAACCAGCUUCCCCUGCCUCCCCCAGCAGCUACUGGAGUGGAAGACCCAGCUUCCUUGCCACUGAUAUUCUCAGGAGCCCCACCAUCGGCAGAAGAAACAAAAACGUAGCUGUUAUGUAGUGACCUGGAGGACAGAUGGGUUGCUGAGCAUCUUUAGGAAUCAUAGAAAUAGUGGGAAAGAAGGGGAAAUCUUUCUGGGGAAAGACAACGUUGACAUUCCUUCUUCAAGAGAUGGCAUCUAUAUUCCCUCCCCUUGACUCUGGGCUGAACUUUGAAACUGCAGAAGUGAUAUGACUUCCAGACGCUUGCCUUUGGAACCCAGCCAGUCUGUUGUGAGGAAGCCCAGCCACAUGGAAAGUCCACAUGUGGGUGCCCCAAUCAACAUCCCCACUUAGGCCUCCAGCUGACAGCCAGCAUUAAUCGCUAGACAUGUGAGUGAAUGAGCUUUCAGAUGAUUCGAGAGCGCACUGGUCAGGUCCUCCAGCUGAGACCUCAGACCUCAUGGUACAGAUAAAUCAAACCCACUAUGCUCUGUCUGAAUUCCUGACCCACAGAAACCAUGGGAUAAUAAAUGGUUAUUGUCAUUGUAAGCCCCUAAAUGUUGUGGUAAUUUGUUAUGCAACAAUAGAGAACUAAAAUUUGGGGUAAUAGUAUGUAAUCCAUGGUGGUGACAUGAGGAUUAAAAGAAAUAGUUAACGCUUAGCACAGUAAGUGCUAAAUAAUGUUAGAUCCUUUUAUUAUAACAAAAAAGGUAAUUCCUAAGCAAAACUUAGAGGUGAAUGAGGGCUCUCAACAGACACCCUUUUCUGGCUCUCUUACCAGAUAACCAGGGGAAAGAGAAGUUGAAAUGUACGAGGAACCCAGUGUAGAAGCCAGAGGUCAAUGGGGUUUGACUUGAAUCAAAUCAUGUUUAGAAUUUGUUUUCACUUGUCUGGAAGAGGUACUCUUAAAAUCCUGAAGCCAGACUCUCAGGAUGGGAGUUAGAAUGUGUUUGUUGGGGCCACUGUCUUACCUGGGGCCCUCACAAUUGUUAAUCCACCAUCCUGUGGUAAGCACCAGUUUUUAAGAGGAGCUAUCUUCUCUGAGUAAUUACAAUGACCUCUCUAGUCAACUACUUUCCGAGUAACGUGUCAUGUGGAGGUCCGAUAUUAGUUUCUCGGAAUAUUUGAGUGAGGUAUUAGACCGUCAUAAAGCCCUUCUGUAAGGACUGCUUUAAUGGGAACUUGGGGAUAUGCCAAGUUUCUCCUGCAUCACUAAGGUAAUUGCAACUCCAUCAUCCUCAGAAUUUGCUCUAGUUUCCAUCCACAGUUUUGAUCAAGAUAAAUGUGGGCCAUAGAAUAUUUUCCUAGGGUUUCAAUGACCAAGGAUAUCAACAGGAAAAGGACAGACAAUGGCUGUUUAUAUUUCUAAACUUUUUUCCCCACACACACAAACAAAAAGGUUAUAAAAUAUUAUAAAGUCAGUAAUGGAAUAAGGACAGUGAAAAUCAACUGGAAAAUGUAUCUUUUUUCCUCUGUUCCUGAAUAUGUAUUGUGUGGAAUUUGGGAUUUACUCAGAUUACAAGCAAUGACUUCAUAAGUAAUGAUUUGAGAAGAGAGGCAAGACCUUAAUUGUGGUGUCCCUGGCAUAGUAACCGAGAAAAUGGCUUUUAGGUUAAAUGUCAUUUUAACAUCCCUUAAAUCAUCUUUUAACCCUGCUGAUGUCGCACAUACUGGUAAAUUUAGAUACCAUUUAUUGAGUGCUUUUUCUUGUUCUAAGCACUUAUACUAAUCUCUUUGUAUGCAUUACCUCAUUAUAAUCCUUAUCACAAUCACUCUUAUGAGACAGGUAUGACGAGCCCUAAUUUUUUCACGUAGAAACUGAGAGUUAGAGAGGUGAAACAGCUUCUAAGAGAGGAGCUGAGAUGUGAUCCAAAGACCAUGCCUUACCCAUUACCUGGCUUUGCCUCUACUGCUGGCUGAGGUCCCUUCUCCACUCUGCGUGUGCAAAGGCUGCUUACCCUUUAAGACUCAGCUCAAGUGUCACCUCCUCUCAGGCAGUUCUCUGCUUAGCAUCUCCCCUUCUAUGUGCCCUCCACCACACACACACACACACGCACACACACACACACACAGAAGAAGUACUCUCUCACUUGUCUCUAGACUUCUAUAGCAAUCCUGGCCAAUAGAAAUAAUGUGAGCCACAUAUGUUAUUAUAAAUUUUCUAGUAGCCACAUAAAAAAAGUAAAGAGAA